rnacentral:rRNA from 1 species
GCCUACGGGGCGCAGCAGUAGGGAAUUUUCGUCAAUGGGCGCAAGCCUGAACGAGCAAUGCCGCGUGAACGAGGAAGGUCUUCGGAUCGUAAAGUUCUGUUGAAGGGGAAAAAGAGCGGAGAGAGGAAAUGCUUUCUGAUUGAUAUUACCCUUCGAGGAAGUCACGGCUAACUACGUGCCAGCAGCCGCGGUAAUACGUAGGUGGCGGGCGUUAUCCGGAAUGAUUGGGCGUAAAGGGUGCGUAGGCGGCCUGCUAAGUCUGGAGUGAAAGGUACCGGCUCAACCGGUACAGGCUCUGGAAACUG